AGCUGGCUGGUACCAUGAGGUGACUUCUGCCCAGUGCUCUGACUGUCAAUGCGAAGAGAUUCAGCCAAGCGCGGGUAAACGGCGGGAGUAACUAUGACUCUCUUAAGGUAGCCAAAUGCCUCGUCAACCAAUUAUUGACGCGCAUGAAUGGAUCAACGAGAUUCCUGCUGUCCCUGGUCGCUGUCUGGUGAACCAACAACCAAGGGAACGGGCUUGGAUGUGUCAGCGGGGAAAGAAGACCCUGUUGAGUUUGACUCUAGUCUGAUGCUGUGCAGUGACAUGGAGGGUGUAGCACAGGUGGGAGGAGCGCGUGCCCCCUCCGGGGUGAGCACUCUAGCAGUGAAAUACCACUACCUCCACCGUCACUUUACUCAUUGAGUGAUCUGGGAACGGUAGCCACUCGGAACUCAUCUGCCUGUUCACUCGCUGGACGGGCAGUGGCUGUUCCCCGCUUCAUGCGUCAAGCGCGGUGCCCUCGCGGUGCCGCGCGACCCUGGGCUGCAAUCCAAAUACAGAGGCCUCAAGACACUGAUCAGUCGGGGAGUUUGGCUGGGGCGGCACGCCUGUUACAUCACAACGCAGGCGUCCUGAAGCAAUGCUCAGAUGGAACAGAAAUCUCUCCGGGAGGAGAAGGCCAAAGGUGUUGCUGAUGCUGUGACCUUCAGUACAGGUCCAAAACAUGCAAGUGUGGCCUAGCGAUCCUUUGGUCAAGCGCACGAGUUCGGGAUAUCGAAGCCAGAGGUGUCAGAAAAAUUACCACAGGGAUAACUGGCUUGUGGCAGCCAAGCGCUCAGAGCGACGUUGCUUUUUGAUCCUUCGAUGUCGGCUCUUCCUAGCUUCCCGCCCGCAGCCGAGCGGAAGAGUUGGAUUGUUCACCCCCCAACAGGGAACGUGAGCUGG
rnacentral:rRNA from 1 species